GUUGUAAGUAGUUAAUAAGGAAUCGGUCACUCCUUGUAGGAGGAGAGAACAUCUCAUGUGAUCUCAUAGGAUGGUGACUGAGAAUCUCUGGUCAAAACAAGGAUGAACAGUAAAAAUAAUUUCUACUAGUUUAUCAAUCGGAUCAUCAUCAUUGGAUAAAGAUACAUAUGGUUAGGUAUUUGGGUUUGACAUAUUUUCAUACCCAUAGCCUUUCGAGAUGUGUGAUCAAAAGAUUGAAUUGCAUGGUAACUCGCC
rnacentral:lncRNA from 1 species